GCGCCCGUAGCUCAGUUGGAUAGAGCAACGGAUUUCUAAUCCGUUGGUCGUUGGUUCGAUUCCAACCGGGCGCA
rnacentral:tRNA from 1 species